GCCGGGCGCGGUGGCGCGUGCCUGUAGUCCCAGCUACUCGGGAGGCUGAGGUGGGAGGAUCGCUUGAGCCCAGGAGUUCUGGGCUGUAGUGCGCUAUGCCGAUCGGGUGUCCGCACUAAGUUCGGCAUCAAUAUGGUGACCUCCCGGGAGCGGGGGACCACCAGGUUGCCUAAGGAGGGGUGAACCGGCCCAGGUCGGAAACGGAGCAGGUCAAAACUCCCGUGCUGAUCAGAAUUCAGGUUAAACUUACAAAAUCGUUUUUAAUACAGAAAUCAAUGAAAAAUUAUCCA
ensembl:misc_RNA Metazoa_SRP Metazoan signal recognition particle RNA